GACGAACGCUGGCGGCGUGCUUAACACAUGCAAGUCGAACGAUGAAGCCUAGCUUGCUAGGUGGAUUAGUGGCGAACGGGUGAGUAAUACGUGAGUAACCUACCUUUAACUCUGGGAUAAGCCCGGGAAACUGGGUCUAAUACCGGAUACGACCAAUCUCCGCAUGGGGUGUUGGUGGAAAGCGUUAUGUAGUGGUUAUAGAUGGGCUCACGGCCUAUCAGCUUGUUGGUGAGGUAACGGCUCACCAAGGCGACGACGGGUAGCCGGCCUGAGAGGGUGACCGGCCACACUGGGACUGAGACACGGCCCAGACUCCUACGGGAGGCAGCAGUGGGGAAUAUUGCACAAUGGGCGCAAGCCUGAUGCAGCGACGCCGCGUGAGGGAUGACGGCCUUCGGGUUGUAAACCUCUGUUAGCAGGGAAGAAGAGAGAUUGACGGUACCUGCAGAGAAAGCGCCGGCUAACUACGU
rnacentral:rRNA from 1 species